CAGAUGAAACAGUAAGGUGGCCAAAGGAAGGUUCUCCUUCCUGCAGUAUCAUAAGACUGGUACCAGCUGCACAACAUGACUGACAAGAGCUGUCUGGAGCCACAUUCUUUCUUCUUGACACCUGACAGAUGGCAGAAAAUAGGUGGCUUUGGCGAAAUUAAUUAGAGACGCAUUGAAGAAACAAUAACCAUGAACACCCUCUGGCAAAAAUAUGAUGUUAUUUGGCACAAAGAACCUUUGUGCAAAAGCAUUGCAGCAGCAGAAGUACUCUGACUAUGCUGAAGAAGAGCUCACCAAAUAGAAAACAACCCUUGACAAAAGGAGAGAAGCGUGGCCGCAAGGAGCCAUGAGACUGAAGAGCAAAAUUCAACACAUCUCUCCAAAUUACUGACUACAAUACUAGGUGUCCUGUGUUUUGCUGUUGUUGCCUCUACAGGCACCUGCAGCAAGCCAAGGUGAGUUAAUCAACUUCCUGCACGGUGCACUGCUUUUUCGUUCUUCUCUAUAUGCACUGGCAGCUCCCUUAUCCCUUGGUUGCUAAGUAUUAGGAAAGGCAGAGAUGCCUGAACUUUUGCAGUUUUCCUCCUAGAGUAUUCACCCCUCACAUGCAAGUCACCAGAGAAGCAGAUGAUCUGAGAAGAGCAUGAUGCAGCCUGGUACACCUCAACCCACUUGGGCAGGUCUCCCCAUUUUAUCAUGGCACCCAAAUCACCUGGUUGAACAGCCCAAGAGGAGAAGUGGCAUAUUUCCUAUCACUCAACUCUGCUGUAAUAACAGUUCAGUGUCUGUCUCUAAAGCAGCCUCAUACAUAAGUCAACCUGCUCUCACAGAAAGCUUGACUUCAACUCUGCUUACUCCAGUGAAGAGACUUCUACUAGGCUCUGUCA